UAUAUUUUAGCGUAUGAUGCACAAAAGUUUUUGAUACUUUUAGAAAUAGUUUAAUUCUAUUUAAUAUAA
rnacentral:tRNA from 1 species